rnacentral:rRNA from 1 species
CCUACGGGAGGCAGCAGUGAGGAAUAUUGGUCAAUGGCCGAGAGCCUGAACCAGCCAAGUCGCGUGAAGGAAGACUGCCCUAUGGGUUGUAAACUUCUUUUAUAAGGGAAUAAAGUCACCCACGUGUGCGUGUUUGAAAGUACCUUAUGAAUAAGCAUCGGCUAACUCCGUGCCAGCAGCCGCGGUAAUACGGAGGAUCCGAGCGUUAUCCGGAUUUAUUGGGUUUAAAGGGUGCGUAGGGGGGUUUUUAAGUCAGUUGUGAAAGUUUGCGGCUCAACCGUAAAAUUGCCAUUGAUACUGGUGGUCUUGAGUACAGGUGAGGUAGGCGGAAUUCGUGGUGUAGCGGUGAAAUGCAUAGAUAUCACGAAGAACUCCGAUUGCGAAGGCAGCUUACU